CUAAAAGACCCAGAUUUUGUAAGUGUCCAUGACCAAAAAUCCUCACAAUCAUACUUAGCCACAAGUAUACUAGAGAUUGCUUCAACUUCCCACUCAGAAAAGUGAGCUUCAAGCAUAUUGUGAUUCCAUAUACCAUCAGACAAAAAUUCACUAACCAGCCUUGGACCCUCAGGGUCAGUAAUCUGCUUGGGGAGAACACGGAAUAUUAAUCUAAAACUAUUUCUAACCCACCUUCAAAUUAAAAAAAUAAAAAAUAAAAAACCUAUUUCUAACCCUAUUAUCAUACCAGUUAUCUUCCAUUCACCCCCAUGAACCACAGCCGCCCCCACCCAUCCACUGAUCUCUCUUCUCCCUCUCUUACAGUUCUAAUCUCUCUUCCAUUGAAGCGAAUCUCGAGCUUUAUAGUUUAAUGGCGAAAGAAACUGGUUCCCAGCCAGCUAACUGUGUUAAUCCUGCAACUAGAACACAUUCAAUCGGCUUAAAGUGAAAAAUUUAAAUUCAACAAAGGAUGGUUGGAGUUUUAUCAAUUUUGUUUGGAGACAAAUAUAAUUUCUUUAGAGGUGUUAUAAGACCAGUUAUUGUAAAUGUUGUUGAUUGUGUUUAGAAUUUCAUAGUUAUAUUAAUAUUAAGUAUAAGAAUUUUACA